UGUUCCUGGAAAGCAGCCACUCUCACAGAAAUAGCAGUUGACAGAAGAAGUGUAUAUGAAGCACGCAGAGAAGAAUAUAUCAGCCAAUUUAAACCCUGAAGAUACUUUUGGAUGGCAGGGUAACAUUGACCAGAUUUGAAUUUGGUCAAAACACCAAACACAAGGCUUCACUGCAAUGUUUACCAGCCUCCAGCAGCCUGCACCUCCCGCCGCAGCGAGGCACAAGGCUGUAUUCUUUGACCACAGUAAAUCAGUUGUGGCAGGGUCAGUCCUGCAGGCAGCUCUGUGCAGAUGGACUCCUCGCCUCUCUAUUUUAGUCCAACUGAAAUCUACCAUAUGUUUAUGUUCUGCAAGUGAAAAGCAUCAGAAAAAAAAAACCCCAAACAAAAACAUUUUUCCAUUUCUGAACCUUUGGACAAUAUAGCUGUUGUCUGGGGUCUGACGGACCAGGGCUUCUUGCCAGACUGGAACCUCAUAGAGAAAAGUGCCACCUACUGAAUAACCACUACCACAUCCUGCCCUCUUCCCUUUCUGUCUGCUGUCUAAACACGGCGAUAGCUCAGCUCAGCCGCUCCAACAAAAGGAGGAGUCCUCAAGCUGAAUUUUCAAGUGAGAAAAACAUUCCCCUUUUGUGUGAGUUGGGGGUUAUUGGUCUGUCGUCUUGUGGAAAGAGAAACAAGGUGUUUUUAAAACUAUUUUGCUGAAGUUUUGGAUUUGCUACUGGAAAAGAAAUUGUAACUGGGAAGAAAGCACUUACUUUUUGUCAGGCUAGCUCUAAAAUCAUGUUUGUAAACUUAAGCCAAUUCUUUUUCUUUUAGAUCUGCUCCUUAUUAAUCUGUGUUGAUUUAAGCUGUUAUGAUACCUUCACAGUGCCUUAUUCCACUCCUGCUGCAGGGCCUGGGCUCACUGGAAACGCCACGUCUUUCAUGCCUGAUUAUGGCCACACAACACAAUUUGCAUCACAGAAAUCUUACCAUGAUGGAAAGCGUAGUCCGUGGAGAAGUUUGGCACAAAGCACAGAAAUGGGAUGCAGGCAGACUUCAUGAGAUGCUGUGAAAGCUCAAUGGAAAAUAGCCCAAAUAAAAGACUGUAACAUUUCCCAGUAUUUUGAGUGAAAACUACAUAAACGGAUGGCUUCUGCUAAGUUUGCACUCCUGCAGAACUCAGCUCCUGGAAUGGACUGCCCUGAACCCUGCGCCGGCUGAGCGUGAGCACUGUUUCUAGAGAGCUCUCUAGUGAUGGCAGCCGGUAAAAUUGUUGGUUAGGAAAAGUAAUAUCACUCUUAGGCAUACAACAGAAGUAGAAGAGAAGGUUGCUGUUUGGCUUUGUGCCAAACCAGCGCUAAAUACUGUGUCUUCUUCUAGCUGAUUCUGAAAACAGAAAAUUCAAAGGAGCUUAAGGCUUGUUGGGGCAAAUUUUGAUAUUGGCCACACAGUACGGUGUAAAUGAGAAAUAACUCGACUGAAGAAAAUAGGACUACAGUAGGAGGUACCUCAUGUUUUGUUUUUGCAGUAAUUUAUUUGCUAGUAUCAAACAUAUACAUAAAAAUAAACUUUACCGUAGCUUUGUUUCCAUUAAGAAGUAGAGGAACAUCAAUUUUCUGGGUUGUAUUUUUUAUUUUUCAGUACUUCACUGUGGGAAAAGCCAUAAAAUUUCUCAAAGUGAAAAGUGCUGAGGGAAUUCUAACAAGCCCCACUGGACAGCUGCGUCAGUGUGCCAGCGAAGGCGUAAGGAACAUUUGCAUUCAAGGAGGGAUAUUUCUACAUUACCUGUCAUGUUGCCCCAUGAGCACUCCAGUGAUUUAAAGGAUAUGGAAAAUCUGUUUCAAG